AUUCUUUUUUCCCUAUCCCGUGUUUUCCAUAUCUCUCAUUUUUUUCUUCCGUCAUUCAUGUUUCUAUCUCUUCCCGCAUCUCUCACUUAAAUUAUCACCUCCCUCUACUUCCAAUGGUGCCGAGACCAGGACACACCAUCCUCCUUAUUAACCUUCUAUUAUCACCUCAUUCUUCACUUGUUGUCUCAGACAUAAACCAAACGAAACACAGGCGGCGUUGCGGCUAUUUCCAUUGAACUUGAGCCACCACCAUUCGCCAUUUUUUCCGACGAGUUCCCCCGAUCACAGCACCUUGGUCACGCACCUCCCUCUGUGAGUUCUAUGAGCUCAGAAACGAAGGAAAACGCUUCCAAAUCUCCUCAAUCACCUCACUGUGUAGUGACAUCGUGAGCACCCUCAUCAUCGACGAAUCUCACUCUUCACGGCUUAGGUAAGCCUCAGGUCACCUCCGCCCUUCCUCAUAUGUGUUUUAGAAACAAUGUCUAGAUGUUGGACGUCUGAUUUAGUGAGGUAUGGUACAAAAGCGCGACUAGGAGGAAAAAGUUCCCCUGAUUCUAGCAAAGUCUGUGACCAUUGGUCACUUUCAUGUGUGAUUUCCAGCCAUAUCCGGCCAUGAAUCGAUCUAGUGUAGGUAUAUAUCGAUUCCCCUCAUUCCCAGCUUCACAUCCAUAUAUAAAAUGUUGAUUAUGAUCUGGAUUUAAGCUCGUUUGAAGCUUUAAAAGUCGGUCUUGCAACCUACAAAUUUGUAGGCUUAGCAAGGAAGGCGAGUACCAGUGUACUCGCAGACACGUGGGCACACAUGGGGAAACCACUGAGAGUAACGUGUGUGGCGCAUGGCUGCCAGUGCAGCCAUCGUGUGGCGGUGUGUGGUGAAAUGCAUUUAUACAUUAGUAUGUUAUAUAUUUACGCAAGUGGUUCCGUUGCUAGGUGAAACGCAUUACAAGGAUCUUUGAUGCCCGUGAGACGGGUUUGACUCGACGACAUGAUUUGUUAUCUGCUCAUCGUGUGCUACACUGGUGUUUGUACUCGCCUGGGCCAGAGCCAAGCUUUAUGUGCAUAUUCACAUUGCAUCAUACGCUGACUUUAACUCCAUUGUAGGUGCUAGUCUUGUCCUAGAUUGCUUUAGGCAAUGAGGAUUUGUAUGUCAUGUGCAUAGCGCCAGUCUUCACGUGAUUGUAGUACUAAAGUGUAAAUCAUAUUACAACUAGUCAUGUUCAUGUCAGAAUACAUCUACAUGAACUCGUGUGUCAGCAUAUGUCGAUGAGCACUUGAUGUGAUAUGUUUAUUUUAGGGAAAUAUUGUGGUUACCGGAAGUUAUAUUCUUAUUUAUGAAUUUUUGUGACGUAUGAAAUUCUUGAGUUAUUGUAGGCUACGGUAAGUAUUUUCAUACCAUACGUAGUAAGUGUAUUUUGGAAACUAUACUUGUUUUACAGCGAGAGGUUAUUAUGUUUUCGAAAAGGUUUUUAAAAAACUUUAUGUUUAGGCCCAUUCACCUUUGUUUUUCGCCCCUCCAUGUUUUAGUAGUUGAGCUUUCAAAUCGACAAGGAUUCUUGGCAAGUCUUAGUAUAGGAGGUUACCUUCGAUGGUAUAAUUUUUAUCAUACCUUUACUGUACUUUAUUUAUGCUUUGACAUCACGUGUGAAAUGUGGCUCAUUCCCGCUCACGUGCGCACUCUUGCACUUAGUCACUUUUAGAUUUAAAUUUAUUCACAUUUUUCACAUCACUACACUUAUGGCUUCGUUACCUUCCGGUGUCGGCCAACAUAACUCGAUUCGAAGAUCCAGGUGGACCUUCCGGGUCAUAAUGUGUCAAGAUUCAAACUUAUUUAAUUUAAAAUUUUUAAAUACAUUAAAUCCAACAGCUGAGAUCAAAUAUGAUCACAUCUAGCGGUAAAAGAAAAGAUCUAAUGGCUCAAAAUUAAACCCUCUUCAACAACCUACGUCAUUGACAGCAACCCCCUUCUCUUUCACCGCCGACCAACCCUCCCCCUCCUCUUCUUACUAUUCUGUCUUUCAAACUAAUGGUACUAUAUUCAGAUCACAUUCAAUUUCGAAGAUGGCAAUAUGAUCCUAACUUAGAUUUAAAAAAAAAAAAAAGACUCAAAAGAAUUUAGGUAUGAAGAAUUUAUCAGUAGACUAAUUAAAAUUAUGAGAAUGGCAUUUUACUUCCUCGGGCAAUCAUUACUGUCCUAAUAGAAAACACACAAACAUGACUAUUCAGAGAGAACAUCAUACUAAGAGGGACAAGGAUUGUCUGCCCUCCUACUUCCCGUGCCCUUCUGUGCCCUCCUGUUUUGUGUAGUCACGGUUAAGCCAUGUCAACAUUUUAUUUACUAUUCAUUUUUGUCUUAUUAUCUCUAUAAAAAAACAAUAUAAAAUGUUGACGUGGCUUAACCGUGAACACACAAAACAGAAGGAUACGGGAGAGCACGGGAAGUGGGAGGGCAGACAAUCCUUGUCCUACUAAGAGAGGUUUAGAAGUUGAAUUCAUGCAAGCAACAAAGAGAUAUUUGAUGUGGGUUUUAUGGGAUCAAAUUUGUGAAGGAUUUCUUUAUUUUAAAGAUGAAUAUUAGCUUCUAUAUAAAAAUUAAAAAUAAUAUAUGGAUAUUAGCUUUUGGGUCAAAGAUUUGAAGGGGUUUUGAUAUUUGGGAGCUUUAUAUGAAGCCAAAUAUUUUCACUAUAUUUCAAAGAACUUCACUAGUUUUUAAAUAUGUCAAUGAGAGACAAAACAUAAAAUCAAUUAAAGCUCAUCCCAAAAACAUAGAAACAAUGUUUUAAAAUACCAGUCAUACCCCUAAGGCUUUAUGGCUGCUACUUGAACCUAGUCCUCACAAUUUCAACAAAAUUAAUAUGUGGCAUAAGGUCAACCCAUCCUCGACUAUUUCUGUAUAAUCAGUUUUGAAACUAUAUGUGGAAUCAAUUUGUAUCCUUUAUUACUAGAAUCAGUUCAACCCGUCAUCGACCAUUUUUACAUAAUUAGUUCAACCCAUCUUUGACUAUUUUUGCAUAAUCAAUUCAAACUGUACUCGACCAUUUUUGUUGAAUCAAUUCAAUUCGUCUUCGACUAUUUUUGCAGAAUUAGUUCAAUCUGUCCCUAACCAUUUUUGCAGAAUCAAUUCAACUUGUCCUCGAUCAUUUUUGAAGAAUCAGUUCAACCCGUACUCGACCAUUUCCAAUCUUUCAAACGCCAAGUUCACCUUCGGCCUAAUAUUUCUUGAAGAGAAAAAGAGAGAGAAAGGAGUAACAGAUGAAGGGAUGGAAUUGUGAAAAAUUCUACCACUAAGGGUAUUGUUGUAACUUACACUCUAGAGAAAAAAUAUUAAUGAUGCAUCUUUUACAUGUAUUAACUUUGUCUUUCCUUGAGAUGUUUAGAAAGUGUUGUUUCAAUAUAAAAUUAAGUAUUAAAUGUAUACUCUAUGUAUAAUUUUUUCUUUAUAUUUCUGGGUUGGUAUGUUUUA